GAUGAACGCUAGCGGCAGGCCUAACACAUGCAAGUCGAGGGGUAUAGUUCUUCGGAACUAGAGACCGGCGCACGGGUGCGUAACGCGUAUGCAAUCUACCUUUUACAGGGGAAUAGCCCAGAGAAAUUUGGAUUAAUGCCCCAUAGUGUUAUAGAAUCGCAUGGUUUUAUAACUAAAGUUCCAACGGUAAAAGAUGAGCAUGCGUCCCAUUAGUUAGUUGGUAAGGUAACGGCUUACCAAGACAAUGAUGGGUAGGGGUCCUGAGAGGGAGAUCCCCCACACUGGUACUGAGACACGGACCAGACUCCUACGGGAGGCAGCAGUGAGGAAUAUUGGACAAUGGGCGCAAGCCUGAUCCAGCCAUGCCGCGUGCAGGAAGACGGUCCUAUGGAUUGUAAACUGCUUUUGUACAGGAAGAAACACUCCCUCGUGAGGGAGCUUGACGGUACUGUAAGAAUAAGGAUCGGCUAACUCCGUGCCAGCAGCCGCGGUUAAAG
rnacentral:rRNA from 1 species